rnacentral:rRNA from 1 species
UAGUGAUUAGAGUUUGAUCCUGGCUCAGGAUGAACGCUAGCGGCAGGCUUAACACAUGCAAGUCGAGGGGUAACGGGGAAGCUUGCUUCCGCCGACGACCGGCGCACGGGUGCGUAACGCGUAUACAAUCUACCUUGUACUGGGGUAUAGCCUUUAGAAAUGAAGAUUAACCCCCCAUAGUCUCUUAGAGUGGCAUCACUUCUAGAGUAAAGGUUACGGUAUAAGAUGAGUAUGCGUUCUAUUAGUUUGUUGGUGUGGUAACGGCACACCAAGACUACGAUAGGUAGGGGCCCUGAGAGGGGGAUCCCCCACACUGGUACUGAGACACGGACCAGACUCCUACGGGAGGCAGCAGUGAGGAAUAUUGGACAAUGGAGGCAACUCUGAUCCAGCCAUGCCGCGUGCAGGAAGACUGCCCUAUGGGUUGUAAACUGCUUUUAUACAGGAAGAAACACCUCUACGUGUAGAGGCUUGACGGUACUGUAAGAAUAAGGAUCGGCUAACUCCGUGCCAGCAGCCGCGGUAAUACGGAGGAUCCAAGCGUUAUCCGGAAUCAUUGGGUUUAAAGGGUCCGUAGGUGGAUAAUUAAGUCAGAGGUGAAAUCUUGCAGCUCAACUGUAAAAUUGCCUUUGAAACUGGUUAUCUUGAGUUAUUAUGAAGUAGUUAGAAUAUGUAGUGUAGCGGUGAAAUGCAUAGAUAUUACAUAGAAUACCAAUUGCGAAGGCAGAUUACUAAUAAUCAACUGACACUGAUGGACGAAAGCGUGGGUAGCGAACAGGAUUAGAUACCCUGGUAGUCCACGCCGUAAACGAUGGUUACUAGCUGUUUGGACUUCGGUCUGAGUGGCUAAGCGAAAGUGAUAAGUAACCCCACCUGGGGAGUACGUUCGCAAGAAUGAAACUCAAAGGAAUUGACGGGGGCCCGCACAAGCGGUGGAGCAUGUGGUUUAAUUCGAUGAUACGCGAGGAACCUUACCAGGGCUUAAAUGUAAGUUGCAUUAGUUAGAGAUAGCUAUUUCUUCGGACCACUUACAAGGUGCUGCAUGGUUGUCGUCAGCUCGUGCCGUGAGGUGUCAGGUUAAGUCCUAUAACGAGCGCAACCCCUGUUGUUAGUUGCCAGCGAGUCAUGUCGGGAACUCUAGCAAGACUGCCAGUGCAAACUGUGAGGAAGGUGGGGAUGACGUCAAAUCAUCACGGCCCUUACGUCCUGGGCUACACACGUGCUACAAUGGUAGGUACAGAGAGCAGCCACUGCGCGAGCAGGAGCGAAUCUAUAAAACCUAUCACAGUUCGGAUCGGAGUCUGCAACUCGACUCCGUGAAGCUGGAAUCGCUAGUAAUCGGAUAUCAGCCAUGAUCCGGUGAAUACGUUCCCGGGCCUUGUACACACCGCCCGUCAAGCCAUGGAAGUUGGAAGUGCCUGAAGUCCGUCACCGUAAGGAGCGGCCUAGGGUAAAGUCGAUAACUAGGGCUAAGUCGUAACAAGGUAAAUCGAAUUCCCGCGGCCGCCAUGGCGGCCGGGAGCAUGCGACGUCGGGCCCAAUCGCC